rnacentral:rRNA from 1 species
GAUGAACGCUAGCUCCAGGCUUAACACAUGCAAGUCGAGGGACCGGCGCACGGGUGCGUAACACGUAUCCACCCUGCCCUUUACUCGGGGAUAGCCUUUCGAAAGAAAGAUUAAUACCCGAUGUAAAGGAUGGGGAUGCGUUCCAUUAGUUUGUUGGUGAGGUAACGGCUCACCAAGCCUUCGAUGGAUAGGGGUUCUGAGAGGAAGGGCGCGAAGAUUGGAACUGAGACACGAUCCAAACUCGUACGCGAGGCAGCAGUGAGGAAUAUUUGUCAAAGGGCGUUAGCCUGAACCAGCCAAGUAGCGUGAAGGAUGAAGGCUUAUGGGUCGUAAACUUCUUUUAUAGAAGAAUAUGUAUUAUAUGAAUAAGGAUCGGCUAACUCCGUGCCAGCAGCCGCGGUAAUUC